AUAUCAAUAAGCGGAGGAAAAGAAACCAACAGGGAUUGCCCUAGUAACGGCGAGUGAAGCGGCAACAGCUCAAAUUUGAAAGCUAGCCUUCGGGUUCGCAUUGUAAUUUGUAGAGGAUGCUUUUAGGCAGCCGCCGGUCUAAGUUCCUUGGAACAGGACGUCAUAGAGGGUGAGAAUCCCGUAUGUGACCGGCUCUGGCACCUUAUGUAAAGCUCCUUCGACGAGUCGAGUUGUUUGGGAAUGCAGCUCUAAAUGGGAGGUAAAUUUCUUCUAAAGCUAAAUACUGGCGAGAGACCGAUAGCGCACAAGUAGAGUGAUCGAAAGAUGAAAAGCACUUUGGAAAGAGAGUUAAAAAGCACGUGAAAUUGUUGAAAGGGAAGCGCUUGCAAUCAGACUUGGACUUGGCUGUUCAACCGGUCUUCUGACCGGCCUACUCAGUCUUGUCCAGGCCAGCAUCAGUUUCGGCGGCCGGAUAAAGGCCCUGGGAAUGUAGCUGUCUCUUCGGGGACAGUGUUAUAGCCCAGGGUGUAAUACGGCCAGCUGGGACUGAGGUCCGCGCUUCGGCUAGGAUGCUGGCGUAAUGGUUGUAAGCGGCCCGUCUUGAAACACGGACCAAGGAGUCUAACAUCUAUGCGAGUGUUAGGGUGUCAAACCCUUACGCGUAAUGAAAGUGAACGGAGGUGGGAACCCGCAAGGGUGCACCAUCGACCGAUCCUGAUGUCUUCGGAUGGAUUUGAGUAAGAGCAUGGCUGUUGGGACCCGAAAGAUGGUGAACUAUGCUUGAAUAGGGUGAAGCCAGAGGAAACUCUGGUGGAGGCUCGCAGCGGUUCUGACGUGCAAAUCGAUCGUCAAAUUUGGGUAUAGGGGCGAAAGACUAAUCGAACUAUCUAGUAGCUGGUUCCUGCCGAA
rnacentral:rRNA from 1 species